GCUCCGGGGCAGCUCUGCGGACAUCCCUUGGAAUUCCUGGCGGGAAUCAGCGGAGCGAGAGCGAGAGCGGGGCCGUGACCUCGGUGACCCCAGAAAGGGCCCGGACCUUCCUCCUCCUCCUCCUCCUCCUCCCCCCGAACUUCCUCUUCCUCCCUGGGCGCGGAACCCGCGGGGCGCCGCUCCUGGGGCACCCCCGAGACCCACCGAACUCCUCGUGCGCUUUUGGGACUGACCGAAUUUCCUGGGCGCUUUUGGGACUGGACUGCCGGAAUUUCUGGGACGCUUUUGGCACUGCCGGAAUUUUUGGCCCCCCCCCNCAGGUUUUCCCAGCGUUUUGCGGGAGUUCCUUUCCCCUCCAGGAUCCCCGAGGAUGGAUGAGGGGCUG
rnacentral:lncRNA from 12 species